AUUGAACGCUGGCGGCAGGCCUAACACAUGCAAGUCGAACGAGUGGCGGACGGGUGGGUAAUGUAUGGGAAACUGCCUGAGGGAGGGGGAUAACUAAUGGAAACGGUAGCUACUACCGCAUAGCAUCGGAUGUGCCGAGAUGGGAUUAGCUAGUGGGUGGGGUAAAGGCUCACCAAGGCGACGAUCCUUAGCUGGUCUGAGAGGAUGACCAGCCACACUGGAACUGAGACACGGUCCAGACUCCUACGGGAGGCAGCAGUGGGGAAUAUUGCACAAUGGGCGCAAGCCUGAUGCAGCCAUGCCGCGUGUAUGAAGAAGGCCUUCGGGUUGUAAAGUACUUUCAGUGGGGAGGCGUUACCCGCAGAAGAAGCACCGGCUAACUCCGUGCCAGCAGCCGCGGUAAUUC
rnacentral:rRNA from 1 species